rnacentral:tRNA from 2 species
GGGCCUAUAGCUCAAUCGGUUAGAGCAGCUGACUCAUAAUCAGCAGGUCGCUGGUUCGAUUCCAGCUGGGCCCACUA